rnacentral:rRNA from 1 species
AAACGACUCUCGGCAACGGAUAUCUCGGCUCUCGCAUCGAUGAAGAACGUAGCGAAAUGCGAUACUUGGUGUGAAUUGCAGAAUCCCGUGAACCAUCGAGUCUUUGAACGCAAGUUGCGCCCGAAGCCUUCGGGCCGAGGGCACGCCUGCCUGGGCGUCACGCAUCGCGUCGCCC